GGGAGGUAGUGACAAUAAAUAACAAUACGGGGUUCUUUAGGAUUUCGUAAUUGGAAUGAGUACAAUUUAAAUCUCUUAACGAGGAACAAUUGGAGGGCAAGUCUGGUGCCAGCAGCCGCGGUAAUUCCAGCUCCAAUAGCGUAUAUUAAAGUUGUUGCAGUUAAAAAGCUCGUAGUUGAACCUUAGGCCCGUGCGGGUGGUCCGUCCUCAGGGCGAGCACUGCCUCGUCGCGGGUCUCACCUUCUGGCGAGCGCGGAUGCCAUUCAUUUGGUGCCCGCGGGAACCAGGACCUUUACCCUGAAAAAAUUAGAGUGCUCAAAGCGGGCUCAGACGCUUGAAUACAUUAGCAUGGAAUAAUGAAAUAGGACGAUGGUUCUAUUUUGUUGGUUUCCGGGACCGUCGUAAUGAUUAAUAGGGAUAGUUGGG
rnacentral:rRNA from 1 species